rnacentral:rRNA from 1 species
AAAUUGAAGAGUUUGAUCAUGGCUCAGAUUGAACGCUGGCGGCAGGCCUAACACAUGCAAGUCGAACGGUAACAGGAAGCAGCUUGCUGCUUUGCUGACGAGUGGCGGACGGGUGAGUAAUGUCUGGGAAACUGCCUGAUGGAGGGGGAUAACUACUGGAAACGGUGGCUAAUACCGCAUAACGUCGCAAGACCAAAGAGGGGGACCUUCGGGCCUCUUGCCAUCAGAUGUGCCCAGAUGGGAUUAGCUUGUUGGUGAGGUAACGGCUCACCAAGGCGACGAUCCCUAGCUGGUCUGAGAGGAUGACCAGCCACACUGGAACUGAGACACGGUCCAGACUCCUACGGGAGGCAGCAGUGGGGAAUAUUGCACAAUGGGCGCAAGCCUGAUGCAGCCAUGCCGCGUGUAUGAAGAAGGCCUUCGGGUUGUAAAGUACUUUCAGCGGGGAGGAAGGUGUUGUGGUUAAUAACCACAGCAAUUGACGUUACCCGCAGAAGAAGCACCGGCUAACUCCGUGCCAGCAGCCGCGGUAAUACGGAGGGUGCAAGCGUUAAUCGGAAUUACUGGGCGUAAAGCGCACGCAGGCGGUCUGUCAAGUCGGAUGUGAAAUCCCCGGGCUCAACCUGGGAACUGCAUUCGAAACUGGCAGGCUUGAGUCUUGUAGAGGGGGGUAGAAUUCCAGGUGUAGCGGUGAAAUGCGUAGAGAUCUGGAGGAAUACCGGUGGCGAAGGCGGCCCCCUGGACAAAGACUGACGCUCAGGUGCGAAAGCGUGGGGAGCAAACAGGAUUAGAUACCCUGGUAGUCCACGCCGUAAACGAUGUCUACUUGGAGGUUGUGCCCUUGAGGCGUGGCUUCCGGAGCUAACGCGUUAAGUAGACCGCCUGGGGAGUACGGCCGCAAGGUUAAAACUCAAAUGAAUUGACGGGGGCCCGCACAAGCGGUGGAGCAUGUGGUUUAAUUCGAUGCAACGCGAAGAACCUUACCUGGUCUUGACAUCCACAGAACGUUUUCAGAGAUGAGAAUGUGCCUUCGGGAACUGUGAGACAGGUGCUGCAUGGCUGUCGUCAGCUCGUGUUGUGAAAUGUUGGGUUAAGUCCCGCAACGAGCGCAACCCUUAUCCUUUGUUGCCAGCGGUUAGGCCGGGAACUCAAAGGAGACUGCCAGUGAUAAACUGGAGGAAGGUGGGGAUGACGUCAAGUCAUCAUGGCCCUUACGACCAGGGCUACACACGUGCUACAAUGGCGCAUACAAAGAGAAGCGACCUCGCGAGAGCAAGCGGACCUCAUAAAGUGCGUCGUAGUCCGGAUUGGAGUCUGCAACUCGACUCCAUGAAGUCGGAAUCGCUAGUAAUCGUGGAUCAGAAUGCCACGGUGAAUACGUUCCCGGGCCUUGUACACACCGCCCGUCACACCAUGGGAGUGGGUUGCAAAAGAAGUAGGUAGCUUAACCUUCGGGAGGGCGCUUACCACUUUGUGAUUCAUGACUGGGGUGAAGUCGUAACAAGGUAACCGUAGGGGAACCUGCGGUUGGAUCACCUCCUUACCUUAAAGAA